rnacentral:misc_RNA from 1 species
GGUUCCUUUUGCUAAUUCUGGCAGGCAACUGCUAUGCAAGAGUGGUGCUGAACGUUGUUUGACCUUCUCCAACACUAACUGUGUUAAAUCAACAUUAGCAAUGAAAUUAUUCAUGAAGUCCAAAUCAGCUCAAUGAUUCUCACAAGGUGAGACAAUUGGCUCGACUGGGGGGUGCAUGUUUCCUCAGCUAAACUUGAUGAUUCUCUAGCAUACAUUCUAUUGUCGGGA